rnacentral:rRNA from 1 species
UACGUAGGGUGCAAGCGUUAAUCGGAAUUACUGGGCGUAAAGCGUGCGCAGGCGGCUUUGCAAGACAGAUGUGAAAUCCCCGGGCUUAACCUGGGAACUGCAUUGGUGACUGGCAGGCUUUGAGUGUGGCAGAGGGAGGUAGAAUUCCACGUGUAGCAGUGAAAUGCGUAGAGAUGUGGAGGAAUACCGAUGGCGAAGGCAGCCUCCUGGGCCAACACUGACGCUCAUGCACGAAAGCGUGGGGAGCAAACAGG